AGAACUUAGCAGAGAUGCUUUGGUGCCUUCGGGAACUCUGAGACAGGUGCUGCAUGGCUGUCGUCAGCUCGUGUUGUGAAAUGUUGGGUUAAGUCCCGCAACGAGCGCAACCCUUAUCCUUUGUUGCCAGCGGUCCGGCCGGGAACUCAAAGGAGACUGCCAGUGAUAAACUGGAGGAAGGUGGGGAUGACGUCAAGUCAUCAUGGCCCUUACGAGUAGGGCUACACACGUGCUACAAUGGCGCAUACAAAGAGAAGCGACCUCGCGAGAGCAAGCGGACCUCAUAAAGUGCGUCGUAGUCCGGAUUGGAGUCUGCAACUCGACUCCAUGAAGUCGGAAUCGCUAGUAAUCGUGGAUCAGAAUGCCACGGUGAAUACGUUCCCGGGCCUUGUACACACCGCCCGUCACACCAUGGGAGUGGGUUGCAAAAGAAGUAGGUAGCUUAACCUUCGGGAGGACGCUUACCACUUUGUGAUUCAUGACUGGGGUGAAGUCGUAACAAGGUAAGCGUAGUGCU
rnacentral:rRNA from 1 species